rnacentral:rRNA from 1 species
GGAUUAGAUACCCUGGUAGUCCACGCCGUAAACGAUGAUCACUCGACAUUGGCGAUAAACUGUCAGUGUCCAAGCGAAAGUGUUAAGUGAUCCACCUGGGGAGUACGAUCGCAAGGUUGAAACUCAAAGGAAUUGACGGGGGCCCGCACAAGCGGUGGAGCAUGUGGUUUAAUUCGAUGAUACGCGAGGAACCUUACCAGGGCUUAAAUGCAAAAUGACAGACUGGGAAACCAGUCCUUCUUCGGACAGAUUGCAAGGUGCUGCAUGGCCGUCGUCAGCUCGUGCCG